rnacentral:tRNA from 1 species
GAGGUUGUGGCUCAGUGGUAGAGCACUUGCCUAGCACAUGUGAAGCCCUGGGUUCGAUUCUCAGCACCACA